GAGAGAGAGAGAGAGAGAGUGGCGUGCUAGAGAGAAGGAAGGGCUGCCAUAUUUUCUAGAGAGAAGAAGAAGAUGAAAGGAAGAAGAAGAAAAAUGGUUCAAGCUAGGGGUUUGAGCAAGGAGGUUAUUGGAUUCUUGAUUGGAUUGGAUUCUUGAUUUUCUAUCAAGAAGAGUGUGAUGAACGCGACACAUCAAAUGGGUUGCUAAGGAUAUAAAGACAUAACCCGAGUUACUAAGGAUAUAAAGACGUAACUCCUAGGGCAGACGCGCCGAGGUUAUUCAAGGACCAGAGACUCUUGUUUACCUCAUAGGGUGACAUGGACAAGUUAGCGGGCCAUGUUCACCAUGAAUGAUGUAUGAAUAUGCUAUGAUGUUAUGAUACGAUAAUGUUAUGAUAUGCUAUGAUGUUA